UUGAGUAUGAUGAGUAUUAUGUUGUACUUGAAUGUUUUUGAGUGCUAUAAGUGUUUAAAAUGAGCUUUGAUGAGUUUUCUUUGAAGGAAUGUUGAGUUGAGCAUGUUUGCUUGUGUGAUUGAGUUCGGAGUCAUUUUUCGUGAUACACUGUCCUACUGUUUUCGAGGGGUUUUAUUACCCAAACACCAUAAAAAUUUUAUGGUAAGUAUAUUUGAGAGUCUUGAGCACACCGGUAAAAUUUCAAGCUAUUCCAACUUCGUUUGAUAUUUCUUUAAAAUGCAAAACCUAAACUGCACAUUACUACCGAGAAUUUCAGAGAAUAGGGGAAAGAGUCAUUCAUUUCAGUAGCUUCCUGUGUGAUCUAGAUUUCCAAAUUUUUAUGGUAUUAACCUUAUUGUGUUGGCUAAAUAUCCUCCAAAGUUGAGCCCAGUUUGAAAACGUUUUCUAUUUUUCAAAAAUCCAAGUUUUCGAUUGCUCAAAACUGCCGAAUAUGAUAGAUCGUGGUAAAAACGUCAUAUCUCUCAAACCACUUGGAGUUUUUGACUCUACUUUUUUUAUAUGAAACUAGACUCGAAUAUCUUUCUUUCGGUAUGAGUCUCGAGUCCAGGAGAUUUCGGGGUCAGAACAGAUUAAAAUUUUAAGUUGAAUCAGUGUAAAAACAGAGCAUGUUUUAAUGAUGUUUGAUUGUGAUUCUUAUGUGCCUUAUGUGAUUGUGUUGCCUAUGUGUUUGAAUGAGAUUAGACGAGCCUUAUAUGAGAGAUAAAUCGAGACUUAGAACCAUGAUUUUCUUGAAACCUAUCCUUGAACUUAAGGAUUUGAGUGGAGAGUUUAUAUAGAGUUGAGUAAGGAGAUAGAAUAUGAGAUAGAGCAUGAAUUAAGGCUUUAUGAGUAUGAAUUUUUAAAAGGAUUAAAAUGUUUUAAAUUAAUUCCAUUUUAAUGGAGUUUAAAUUGCUUAUUUAAGUAAUUUAUAAAUGAAUAAUGGAAUUUCGUAUUUAUUUACAUCGAAAUGAAAUGUAUAGAAUGUUAUAAGAUGGUGCAUGAUUAUUAUCUCUUAUGUGAACAUGUGAAUUUCUAAAUGAUAUUAAGUUUAAGGAUGUUGAAUUCUUUUAUUUCUUUUGUUAUGUGGUUACGUGAUAUUAUGUGGUUAGUCGAUGUUAUGUUGGUUUUUGAUUGUUUUAAUCGAAACGACUUAUGGAUGCUAGAACCCUAAAACACUAAAAGAUACCCUAAGCACGUAGAAUUAGACUUUGUCUUGUGACAUUUUUCUUCACGAACUUUCCGACUCUUCAUCAAUAAAGGUCCGGGCAACAGGAAGUGAAGCCGAAGAAGAAGCGACUCCACGCUAGCUUAAGAACGUUUGAGGUUGAGCAGCUGAUGGAAUGGAAUGGUGUUGAGCGGGUGUUCCUUUGUCAUUUCAAGAAAUGUAACCUUGAGUAUACAUCUUCAUAUGUAUAUCUCACACGUUUUCCGCUGCAAAACACUUUGAUUAGGAUAACUCUAUGUUAUGAAGUUGUGACACGUGUUAUUGGGUAACCCACCUUAAUCAGUUCUCCUUUAUGUGUAUGUUUUAUAAGUAUCCAAAUGAUCAUAUAUGAUCCUAGCAUUUUAUCUAUGAGUGACAUUUCCAUA